GAUGAAGAACGUAGCGAACUGCGAUAAGUAAUGUGAAUUGCAGAAUUCAGUGAAUCUUCGAGUCUUUGAACGCACAUUGCGCCCCCUGGCAUUCCGGGGGGCAUGCCUGUCCGAGCGUCAUUGCUGCCCUUCAAGCCCGGCUUGUGUGUUGGGUCGUCGUCCCCCCCGGGGGACGGGCCCGAAAGGCAGCGGCGGCACCGCGUCCGGUCCUCGAGCGUAUGGGGCUUUGUCACCCGCUCGAUUAGGGCCGGCCGGGCGCCAGCCGGCGUCUCCAACCUUCUAUUUUACCAGGUUGACCUCGGAUCAGGUAGGGAUACCCGCUGAACUUAAGCAUAUCAAUAAGCGGAGGA
rnacentral:misc_RNA from 1 species